GAGAGUUAAACAGUACGUGAAAUUGUUGAAAGGGAAACGAUUGAAGCCAGUCGUACCUUCGGGUAAUCAGCCUUUCGGGUGCGAUUCUGUGGAGUUUGAGGAGCUUUAACACCUUCAUGCUUUGCAUAUUCGUGCUCUUGGGUGUACUUGCCCGUGUGGUUGGUUAACAUCAAUUUCGGGCACCAUAAAAUGGCUGGAGGAAUGUAGCUUCGAUCUUGUAUUGAAGUGUUAUAGCCUUCGGUAGAUGUGGUGAUCGAGAUUGAGGAUUGCAACGGAUACCUUUCGGGGCUACCUGUCUGAUCUCUGAUCGUUGCUUUGGUGCUGAAAGCGUGCUUAUAGUUAUCAAAGUCGAUGGUUAAUAGGUUAGAAUGGGUUAAAUUCGUUAAGGAUGUUGACGUAAUGGCUUUAAACGA
rnacentral:rRNA from 1 species